rnacentral:lncRNA from 1 species
UUCGACCUCAUCCUCGUCCAACCUAACCUGAUCUAAGAAUGCAUAGUAAACCAUAUAACAUUACCUGAUUUCAUUUGCAGGGACAAAAAAGUCACCUUUGAAUUGAAUUCUUAGCAUACCUUAGUUUAAAUUUGAAUUUAUUCUCGUGUAGAAUAAUGGAGGGCGGCGCAGUGAAGGUGUGCUCCUGCGUGCACCGUCGAGCAAGCUGCAGUGUCUCCUCCAUGCAAGCCUUCCUAUGUUGUGUGGGAAAGAUGAAAGCAGGAAGAUAUAACCCCAACGUGUCCACCAAAUACCAAUAUCGAUUAAUUGAGCACUACAUCAAGGCGUCGGAAUAAUAACCACGCGCGUGGCUUUGAAGGAUCCUGAAUCUAGUAGUUCAUGCAAACAGUAGCAUAUCUCAUUAGAUCAUAAUGCUCAAGUUGACCAUGUUCUGCACAGAAUGGAUGAUGAACCUUGGACACCACUAUACUUUAGAAGGAUUAUUCAAGAACUCACCUGUGCUUAUUUCAGUCACAAUCUCCAUGAAAGAACUGCACAAAUUGGAUCCUUGAUUGGUUCAACGGUGAGAAUGGCAUCAUCCGAUGAGUUGCAUCACCCACAGCAUUCCAAAUAAAAUACCCAGUAUUUGCAUUGUUGGUCAGAGAGACUAUUCUACAAAGCGAAGGCGAAGAGUCUCCUACAUGCUUCACAUACAUGUUGACCAAAGCAAAUCUAAGAGUUGGAUUCCUUUAAUCCAUGUUGUGUCGGGAUCAAGCUUCCAUGCUUGGUUACAGCCUGAACUUCAUAUAAAGAAAGAACAGUUGUGUAGGAUCAGAUUUCGAUAGCUAAUCUCGUUAUCUCUUGCGAGAAGCCAUAUUCUACACCACUUCAAGCAGAUCUGCAGGUGUCUCCUUGACACAUUCUACAUCAUGAGACCCUCCAAUAAUAUGUCCGGCUGUGCCAUGGCACUCGUCAUCAGCUCUUUUCUUGUUUUGGGAGUCAUUUACGCCUGCUUGUGGAUGCCUGAGGGAUCAACAGCUUUCUUUCAC